UUUUGAAGUUGUACGUAGGGGGGUGGCUCAUCCAAGCAAAAUUGCUGUUGGUGGUCAUUCAUAUGGGGCAUUCAUGACAGCAAACCUCCUAGCACAUGCUCCUAAACAAUC